UGAAUACGAGACGCUAAGGCGUCGAAGUAGUGUAUGUCAUACUUCCAAGAAAAGCUUGCACUGUCAUAGAUAAAAAACGCCUGUACCAUAACCGACACAGGUGGGUAGGUAGAGUAUACUAAGGGGCGCGAGAUAACUCUCUCUAAGGAACUCGGCAAAAUAACUCCGUAACUUCGGGAGAAGGAGUGCCUUAUUCGUAAGGUUGCAAUAACAAGAUCCAAGCAACUGUUUAUCAAAAACACAGGUCUCCGCUAAGUCGUAAGACGAUGUAUGGGGGCUGACGCCUGCCCAGUGCCAGAAGGUUAAAGAAGUUGGUUAGCAAUUGCGAAGCUGAUAACUGAAGCCCUGGUGAACGGCGGCCGUAACUAUAACGGUCCUAAGGUAGCGAAAUUCCUUGUCGGGUAAGUUCCGACCCGCACGAAAGGCGUAAUGAUUUGGAUACUGUCUCGGAGAGGGGCUCGGUGAAAUAGACUUGUCUGUGAAGAUGCGGACUACCUGCACCAGGACAGAAAGACCCUAUGAAGCUUUACUGUAACUUGAAAUUGAAAUUGGACUUUAUUCGCGCAGUAUAGGUGGGAGGCGUUGAUUAUAAUCUUGUGGGAUUAUUGGAGCCAUCAGUGAGAUACCACUCUUGUAAUGUUAGAUUUCUAACUUUGAAUCAUUAUCUGGUCAAAGAACAGUUUCAGGCGGGCAGUUUGACUGGGGCGGUCGCCUCCUAAACGGUAACGGAGGCGUACAAAGGUUUCCUCUGAACGGUUAGAAAUCGUAUCUAGAGUGUAAAGGCAUAAGGAAGCUUGACUGUGAGACCUACAAGUCGAGCAGGGACGAAAGUCGGUCUUAGUGAUCUGACGGUACUGAGUGGAAAGGCCGUCACUCAACGGAUAAAAGUUACUCUAGGAUAACAGGCUGAUCUCCCCCAAGAGUUCACAUCGACGGGGAGGUUUGGCACCUCGAUGUCGGCUCAUCGCAUCCUGGGGCGGUAGUACGUCCCAAGGGUUGGGCUGUUCGCCCAUGAAAGCGGUACGCGAGCUGGGUUCAGAACGUCGUGAGACAGUUCGGUCCAUAUCCGGUGUAGGCGUUAGAAUAUUGAGAGGAGCCUUCUUUAGUACGAGAGGACCGAGAAGGACAUACCUCUGGUGUACCAGUUAUCGUGCCAACGGUAAACGCUGGGUAGCUAUGUAUGGAGUGGAUAACCGCUGAAAGCAUCUAAGUGGGAAGCCCACCUCAAGAUAAG
rnacentral:rRNA from 1 species